GUUUUAAGACAUCUUUUCUAGAGCAAGGAUGGGAUAGGAUUUUAUAGUAUAGGAUGAAAAAAAUAAGACAUUUAUAUGAAUUAUUCUAAUACAAGUUCAAACAUGAUAAGUACUAAAAUUUGGUUGAAAAACUGUCUUUUCCUUUUCUCAGACACUCAAAUCAUUCUAAGACAUGGUAGGGAAGGGGAAUGUGCUUGAUAAGAAACAAAAUAUUGUUUAAUUGGUAACUAACUAGUGACUUGUGUACAGUUAUUUUUGCUCUCUUAUUUGACCUUCAAUUUUUCAUUUAUAUUAAUGAGUUUUUCCCCUUGUUUUGCUUUGAUUUUGUUUGGGAUUCUCUGGAGCAGUGGGUUCCUUUUAAAAAAAAAUUGAUACAACUGUUGGUAAUAAUAUGGUAUCCAUCAGAUGCACAGCACAUCUACAUUCAAGGAAUGAUAGGGGAAAUGCUAACAACGGCCAACAUGAAAUGACAGAGAUUACUAGGAAGAUUGAGAGGAGGACUUUAUGAAGGAUAUUCUCAACCCAGUUUUUCCAUUUAAAUGAUUCUACUUAAAGAAAGGAAAGCCUUCCACCCAUGAGAUGUUGGACCCAGAUCUUAUAUGUUGUGAGCAAUAUGAAAG